CUACGGGUUGCUCCAGUGAGGAAUAUUGCACAAUGGGGGGAACCCUGAUGCAGCAACGCCGCGUGGAGGAUGACGCAUUUCGGUGUGUAAACUCCUUUUAUAUGUCAAGAAAAUGACGGUAGCAUAUGAAUAAGCACCGGCUAACUCCGUGCCAGCAGCCGCGGUAAUACGGAGGGUGCAAGCGUUACUCGGAAUCACUGGGCGUAAAGGACGCGUAGGCGGGUUGGAAGGUCAGGUGUGAAAUCCUACAGCUUAACUGUAGAACUGCACUUGAAACUUCUAAUCUAGAGUAUGGGAGGGGGAGAUGGAAUUAGUGGUGUAGGGAUAAAAUCCGUAGAUAUCACUAGGAAUACCUAAAGCGAAGGCGAUCUCCUGGAACAUUACUGACGCUAAGGCGUGAAAGCGUGGGGAGCAAACAGGAUUAGAUACCCCGGUAGUC
rnacentral:rRNA from 1 species